rnacentral:rRNA from 1 species
AGAUUGAACGCUGGCGGCAUGCCUUACACAUGCAAGUCGAACGGCAGCACGGGAGCAAUCCUGGUGGCGAGUGGCGAACGGGUGAGUAAUAUAUCGGAACGUGCCCAGUUGUGGGGGAUAGCCCGGCGAAAGCCGGAUUAAUACCGCAUACGACCUACGGGUGAAAGCGGGGGAUCGCAAGACCUCGCGCAAUUGGAGCGGCCGAUAUCAGAUUAGCUAGUUGGUGGGUAAAAGCUCACCAAGGCGACGAUCUGUAGCUGGUCUGAGAGGACGACCAGCCACACCUGGGACUGAGACACGGCCCAGACUCCGUACGGAGGCAGCAGUGGGAAUUUUGGACUAAGUGGGCGCAAGCCUGAUCCAGCCAUCGCCGCGUGUGGGAAGAAGGCCGUUGGUUACGUAAACCUACGUUUUUGUCGUAAGGG